UACGGAGGGAGCUAGCGUUGUUCGGAAUUACUGGGCGUAAAGCGCACGUAGGCGGCGAUUCAAGUCAGAGGUGAAAGCCCGGGGCUCAACCCCCGGAACUGCCUUUGAAACUAGAUUGCUAGAAUCCUGGAGAGGUUAGUGGAAUUCCGAGUGUAGAGGUGAAAUUCGUAGAUAUUCGGAAGAACACCGGUGGCGAAGGCGGCUCUCUGGAAUGUUACUGACACUGAGGCACGAAAGCUGGGGGAGCAAACAGG
rnacentral:rRNA from 1 species